UACGGGGGGGGCAAGCGUUGUUCGGAAUUAUUGGGCGUAAAGGGCGCGUAGGCGGCUUGGCAAGUGGAUGGUGAAAUCCCUCGGCUUAACCGAGGAACUGCCGUCCAAACUGCUUGGCUUGAGACCGGGAGAGGUGAGUGGAAUUCCCAGUGUAGCGGUGAAAUGCGUAGAUAUUGGGAGGAACACCAGUGGCGAAGGCGGCUCACUGGACCGGUACUGACGCUGAUGCGCGAAAGCGUGGGGAGCAAACGGG
rnacentral:rRNA from 1 species